rnacentral:ncRNA from 1 species
UAAAUGUUUGAUUUUGGCUUGAAUUUUUGCGUUUAUAUUAAAAUCGCAUGAAAAUUAUGGGUGAGUUCAUAAUAAAUUAGUUUGAUACUAAUUUAUUAAAUAAUGUAAACUAAGUUUAUAAUGAAUAAGGCCUCAGCGUAGCUUAUUAGUUCAUUUGCACGGAAGUGUGAGUUAAUAAUAUAAUAAAAUCUGAUAAAUGUUUGUGCCAGCAUUCGCGGUUAAACUUCAGGGUUAAGUGAAAAUAUUUGAGUUGAUAGUAAAGUGAGUAGUUGAACAUAAAAUUUAGUUACUAUAAAGGGUAAAAUCAGAAUAUAGUUUAUAAAUUGGUAAAAGACUUUAGCUGAAACUAAAUAAAUUUGGUUAAAAACUAGGAUUAGAUACCCUAUUAUUCCAAAUUAAAAAUAAAUGCACCGGACUAGUACGAGUUACAUACUUAAAAAUUAAAAAAUUUGGCAGUAGUUUAAUCUUUUUAGAGGAACCUGUUUUUUGAUCGAUACACCACGAAGAAUCUUACUUACUCUUGUAAAGUUUAGUUUGUAUACCAUCAUUAUCAGAUGAUUCUAAAAGGAGAAAUUGUUGAAUUUAGUUUAUCUAGGGAAAUUAGAUCAUGGUGCAGCUUAUGGGUAAGUUAAAAUGGGUUACAAUAAAUUAAUUUAAAUGGAAUAUAAUAUGAAAAUUUAUAAUGAAGGAGGAUUUAAUUGUAUUGGGGGUUAAACAUAUGCCUUCAAGAAAUAAGCUCUAAAUUAUGUACAUAUCGCCCGUCGCUUUCAUUUAUAAGUGAAAUAAGUCGUAACAUAGUAGGUGCACUGGAAAGUGUACCUAGAAUUAA